rnacentral:tRNA from 1 species
GGCCUUGUAGCUUAGCUGGUAAAGCGUAUGCCUCUAUGAAGCAUAAGACCAGGGGUUCGAGUCCCCUCGAGGCCU